CCAACGUGGUCAUCCUGUGAGUUGCUCUCAUAAGGCUCUGUCCGUGUGGCGUAUGGGAGCUUAGCACUUUUUGUGCAAUGAUGUAUAGUCCCGUUCCACGACGUUGUAAAGUGAGACGCUCCCUGGCUUUCAGGCUGGUGUGGACGUAGCCCUGCAUAUUCCUACACCUUUCCAGAGCCCAUGGGCAAUUACUGGGGGGGAAAACCAUGCAGUGCACAUCU
ensembl:snoRNA SNORA73 Small nucleolar RNA SNORA73 family